UGGGGAAUUUUGGACAAUGGGCGAAAGCCUGAUCCAGCGACGCCGCGUGGAGGAUGAAGGCCUUCGGGUUGUAAACUCCUUUUGGAGGGAACGAAACAAAUGACGGUACCCUCAGAAUAAGCCACGGCUAACUACGUGCCAGCAGCCGCGGUAAUACGUAGGUGGCUAGCGUUACUCGGAUUUACUAGGCGUAAAGCGCAUGUAGGUUGUUGGAUAAGUCCGCUGUGAAAUCUCUCGGCUCAACUGGGAGAGGUCAGUGGAUACUGUUCAGCUUGAGUGUGGCAGGGGGAGACUGAAUUCCCGGUGUAGCGGCGAAAUGCGUAGAUAUCGGGAGGAACACCGAUGGCGAAAGCAGUCUCCUGGGCCAAUACUGACACUGAGGUGCGAAAGCUAGGGGAGCAAACAGG
rnacentral:rRNA from 1 species